CUUGGUCCUAAAUAUUAGGUUACUUAUAACUGAUCUUAUACAUGCAAGUUUCCGCAAUCCAGUGCAUACAGCCCCCCCCCAUAAUCGGAGCAGAUAUCAGGCACACACCCGUAGCCCACAACAUCUAGCUCUGCCACACCCCCACGGAACACAGCAGUAAUAAACAUUAAGCCAUGAGCCCAACAACCCUCAAGCUCGACUCAGAUACAGCUAACUCCCGGCCGGUAAACUCCGUGCCAGCCACCGCGGUUACACGAAGGGCCUCAAAUAACCUCAUACGGCGUAAAACGUGACUAGAAGCCAAUUUUAAAUGCGGGACUCACAACCCAGAUAAAGCCGUAAAACGCACACAUCAAAAGGAAUCUCUCCACGCCCCCAUUAACAAAUCACCUUUGACUACACGAAAUCUGUGACACAAACUAGGAUUAGAUACCCUAUUAUGCCCAGACAUAAACACAGGCAGCAAGCUUAACCCACCAUGCCCGCCAGAGAACUACACGCACCCUAGCGUAAAACUCAAAGGACUUGACGGUGUCUCAUACCGCCCUAGAGGAGCCUGUCCUAUAAUCGAUACUCCCCGCUACACCUCACCCCCCAUUGCAAAGCUUCAACCUAUAUACCGCCGUCGCCAGCUCACCUUACAAAAGCCAAACAGUGUGCAAAAUAGUUCCCCACUAAAAAGUCAGGUCAAGGUGUAGUUAAUUGGGGGGACAGCGAUGGGCUACAUUUUCUAGCAAAGAAGCCCCCAGCAAUAUGAAAUAAUGCCAUAAGACGGAUUUAGCAGUAAAUAGAGCAAGAGCCGCUCAAUUGAAGCUCGCCCUGAGACGCGUACACACCGCCCGUCACCCUCCUCAGAAACCAAAAAUCAAAAUAACUAAGCCCCUCCCCCAAAUCUACCAGAUGAGGCAAGUCGUAACAUGGUAAGUGUACUGGAAAGUGCACUUGGCAAAAC
rnacentral:ncRNA from 1 species